UGAAAGAAAGGGUUAGAGGGAAGGGAAGAUUCUAAAAGCUUGCUCAGCUUGGGCUGGGGAGGUCACUUGGAGGCCUGUGGAGUAUGACAGCCCCAAGGACACAGGACAAAAUGGUAUUUGGAGAAACUGUGAGAGAGACUGGAUAUCUUGUUAAAUCCAGUCUGGUAAACCCUAGAGAUAGAGCUUUAGAAGAUCUUUGAACAAAGAAACAAGGCAGAUAGUCAAGAAGAACAGAUGAACAGUCAGGAUAAAUGGACAGUCAAGAAGAACAAAUGGAGAAACAAGGAAGCAGUGAGAGAAAAACAGAGAGAGAACUGCAGGGAGCCAAAUGCAGGACUAAAAGAACUGGGUGGGGCCAUGCUCCCCUGGCUCUUAAAGGCUUCACCUUAAUUUGCAUAGUCCUGCCUUCGAGCCACAUGAAGCAUAACCCACACUGAGACAUCCUUGGAUUGCAGCAGCAGAGAGGGAACACUGUAAGGAAAUGCUGGUGGUCUUGCACAAGAGCACCCUUACGCAACUUCCAAACCAGCAUUGCACACACUUGAGCAGCACAAGUACAUUGGAAACAAUUUAAGUUGCACUCCUAAACUGCGUGCAUGCUGGUUUAAGUAUUUGUGCAUGAGUAUUUGCAUGUCUGCAAGACUGACAAUGUUUCCUUGAACACCCGCAGCUCUGCAGGCAGAUUGGAAACAUCAGCAUAAGCCAGCAUAACAUGUCAAUCAUUAGGUUUUGAAGCAGGAAAUCCAGGUUUGAAUGUCCACUCAGUGUUGAAGUAUACAAGAGAGUAUACAAAUAAGUUUUUUUUAAAAAAGCAGGCUCGGUCUACCCUACUGCCCUGGCCAUGAGGUAAAAUACCACUUUGAGAAACAUGGAUGAAGCGUAGUAUAGGAACAACAACAACAAAGUGCUCACAGUCCUUCCCUGAGCACUUCUAUUGUGGGUGCAUCAUAUUUGGUUUGCAAGCGAUGAACCAUGUCUUAUACCAGGAGAAUGUGAUGCUUCCUUAGGUAUCACAAUCAUGGCCACUGUGAUGGUCACAUGGAACAUGGUUGCUAAGUGUCAUGGUUAUCUACUGGAUACCGUGUAUGAGAAUCCUUCCACUACUCCAAUAGCUUUAACUUGAGAAUCCUUCCACUACUCUUGCAGCCCUUAAAUGAUGGCAAAUAUCAGCAAACACUAUUCCAUCCUCCCCACAAUCACAACCCACCAUUUUGUUAAGUUUCCAAGUUUUUUUUAAAAAACAAUUUUUCUUAAAACUAUGCAUACAUUUAUGAGAGGGGAGGGGGUAGGUGUGUGUGUGUGUAUAAAAACAGCAGUGCAGCAAUUCUCCCUGUGCCGGUUUCAACAGUGACAUAAAUAUUAUGGUACUGCCUCAGGCUGCUAGUGGGGGUUGAAAGUCUGAAUGCUUCCCUAACCCCCUGCAAAAAGGCCGCUUUACAAAGAUGUCAGGGGGAGGUUAGGUAGACUUUUCCUUCAGGACAUACUAUUUUUUUCAGUGUGCGGGGUAUUUUCCUGAAGGAGCACAUGAUCCUCUCUACUUGCAGACUGAAGGGGUACACUCCAGGGAAAGUUUACCAUUUGAUUCUGAGAAAGAAAGAAAAAGAAAGAUGCAGUGCUGGUUACAAUCUUGUCCUAGAAAUGAGGUAUUGCAGAACUGUGAUGAAAUGAGUUACAAGGUAAACAUCUUAACAUAAAAUGAUUAAGGUUCUUUCUAAGGGAAGCCAGCAGAGACAGCAGCUGGGAUUGGGAGACCCCUGCUGGGAGGAAGGACCGUUAAAAGGCAUUGGGCUGAGAAGACCAAGAGACAGGCAGAGUGGGUGUCUGACGUACAGCCUGGGAGAAGGCGGGGCUAAGGAGAACCAGGGGAAGUUCUGUUAAAAUAAACACAGUUGUAACUAAUAUGUGAGCUCUGGGAAGAAAGAGGAAGUGUAAAACCACAAUCACAGAAAGUUUAUAGCAGAAGUCACUGAAAGUAAAUUGUAUUAUCAAAUAAACCAUUUUGUAACCAAGCAAGGAGUAGCACCGUACUUUUUAAGGAGAGAAACAAGCAAGUCUCAGAAUCUGGAAAAUCUGCACCCCUAGUUCUCCCUGUCUCUCUCCUGCCCCAUCUUCAUUUAGUCUUCAGCCUCUGUCCGUUCUUCCCCGUCCCAGUCCGCUUUCUCUCAUCGCCCUCCGGCGGUGCUUUCUGUUACUGCUUGCCAGCCAGCCAGGCCACCACUUUCCCUCACCACCCACCGGCCAGCCUGACCGCCACUUUCCCUUCCCACUGGCCACCCUCCGCCCAUCCCUGCCGCUAUCUGGCAGUUGCUUGAGAACACUCGCGAGAGCUGCCACACAUGGGAUUAGCGAUGGGUACGCCUGAAAGAGAGAGAGAGACACACAUGCUCUUUCCUGGCCCCCAGUUCUGAAUAGUGAUCACUUGCAUUGUGCAAAACUUUCGUAACUCACCAUGAUAAGCUCCUUGGAGAUCACACACAUCCAGCUGAACCCAUCGACUGAAAACAUAGGAAGACUCACUGUUCACUCGGCAUAUGUAAAUGCCAGCAUCAUCUGUAUUCACUUGGCUGAAGACUAGCUCUGGGGUAUUCCCAUGUGGAACCUGCAUUAGGCAGGAUUAAAAAAAAAGAUAAAAUAGCAUAAACUGCGAUAAGAAUGUGUGUUUUCCACAGAACCACCUACAAUUAAAACUUACCUACCAAAUAUGUUCAGAUAAGAAAGACACUACCUUUUACAUUCAUAUAUCAGCUUCCUUC